GCGGGACACGUGGUAUCCUGUCUGAAUAUGGGGGGACCAUCCUCCAAGGCUAAAUACUCCUGACUGACCGAUAGUGAACCAGUACCGUGAGGGAAAGGCGAAAAGAACCCCGGCGAGGGGAGUGAAAAAGAACCUGAAACCGUGUACGUACAAGCAGUGGGAGCCUCUUAAUGGGGUGACUGCGUACCUUUUGUAUAAUGGGUCAGCGACUUAUAUUCUGUAGCAAGGUUAACCGAAUAGGGGAGCCGAAGGGAAACCGAGUCUUAACUGGGCGUUAAGUUGCAGGGUAUAGACCCGAAACCCGGUGAUCUAGCCAUGGGCAGGUUGAAGGUUGGGUAACACUAACUGGAGGACCGAACCGACUAAUGUUGAAAAAUUAGCGGAUGACUUGUGGCUGGGGGUGAAAGGCCAAUCAAACCGGGAGAUAGCUGGUUCUCCCCGAAAGCUAUUUAGGUAGCGCCUCGUGAAUUCAUCUCCGGGGGUAGAGCACUGUUUCGGCAAGGGGGUCAUCCCGACUUACCAACCCGAUGCAAACUGCGAAUACCGGAGAAUGUUAUCACGGGAGACACACGGCGGGUGCUAACGUCCGUCGUGAAGAGGGAAACAACCCAGACCGCCAGCUAAGGUCCCAAAGUCAUGGUUAAGUGGGAAACGAUGUGGGAAGGCCCAGACAGCCAGGAUGUUGGCUUAGAAGCAGCCAUCAUUUAAAGAAAGCGUAAUAGCUCACUGGUCGAGUCGGCCUGCGCGGAAGAUGUAACGGGGCUAAACCAUGCACCGAAGCUGCGGCAGCGACACUAUGUGUUGUUGGGUAGGGGAGCGUUCUGUAAGCCUGUGAAGGUGGCCUGUGAGGGUUGCUGGAGGUAUCAGAAGUGCGAAUGCUGACAUAAGUAACGAUAAAGCGGGUGAAAAGCCCGCUCGCCGGAAGACCAAGGGUUCCUGUCCAACGUUAAUCGGGGCAGGGUGAGUCGACCCCUAAGGCGAGGCCGAAAGGCGUAGUCGAUGGGAAACAGGUUAAUAUUCCUGUACUUGGUGUUACUGCGAAGGGGGGACGGAGAAGGCUAUGUUGGCCGGGCGACGGUUGUCCCGGUUUAAGCGUGUAGGCUGGUUUUCCAGGCAAAUCCGGAAAACCAAGGCUGAGGCGUGAUGACGAAGCACUACGGUGCUGAAGCGACAAAUGCCCUGCUUCCAGGAAAAGCCUCUAAGCAUCAGGUAACAUCAAAUCGUACCCCAAACCGACACAGGUGGUCAGGUAGAGAAUACCAAGGCGCUUGAGAGAACUCGGGUGAAGGAACUAGGCAAAAUGGUGCCGUAACUUCGGGAGAAGGCACGCUGAUAUGUAGGUGAAGCGACUUGCUCGUGGAGCUGAAAUCAGUCGAAGAUACCAGCUGGCUGCAACUGUUUAUUAAAAACACAGCACUGUGCAAACACGAAAGUGGACGUAUACGGUGUGACGCCUGCCCGGUGCCGGAAGGUUAAUUGAUGGGGUUAGCGGUAACGCGAAGCUCUUGAUCGAAGCCCCGGUAAACGGCGGCCGUAACUAUAACGGUCCUAAGGUAGCGAAAUUCCUUGUCGGGUAAGUUCCGACCUGCACGAAUGGCGUAAUGAUGGCCAGGCUGUCUCCACCCGAGACUCAGUGAAAUUGAACUCGCUGUGAAGAUGCAGUGUACCCGCGGCAAGACGGAAAGACCCCGUGAACCUUUACUAUAGCUUGACACUGAACAUUGAGCCUUGAUGUGUAGGAUAGGUGGGAGGCUUUGAAGUGUGGACGCCAGUCUGCAUGGAGCCGACCUUGAAAUACCACCCUUU
rnacentral:rRNA from 1 species